rnacentral:lncRNA from 1 species
GAAGCUUUUGCCGUCUGUUUUGAAGGAGAAGCACUAGCAUGGUAUCAAUGGGAGGAGAGUCGACAACCUAUGACUUGGGAAGACGUGAAGCUUCUUCUAUUGGAUCAUUUUCGUCCUUUGCAGGAAGGGAUAGCCUUAGAGAAGUUCCUGGCUUUGAAGCAGGAGAGCACUGUGAAGGAUUACCUUAGGAUGUUUGAGAUGUUGGCCGCGCCUUUGCCGGCGAUUCCUGAAUCAGUGAUGGAGGAGAAUUUCAUCAACAGAUUGAGCCCAAAAGUAUGUGCUGAAGUGCGGUUGAUUAGGCCCAAGGGGUUGGGCCAAAUCAUGGAAUUGGCCUAAAGAGUGGAGGAUAGGAACGAGUCCCUGAAACGAGCCCAUUUGAGGCCAGGCCCAAUUAUGUAUAAAGGCAGUGGUACAGUCUCGUCGGGCAGCCCCAAUUCAUUUAGCCCCUCUCACCAAUUCAGCCCAACGUCUCUACCUCCGAAGUCGUCCACAGCAACGAUAGCCAACUCCAAGUUGGCAACAAUUCCAAUGCCUCGACCGGUGAUUGUAGCUAAGUCGACAUCUCCCUUUAAGAGACUCAUCGACCCCGAGUUGCAUGAGAAGAGGGAUAAGGGUCUUUGCUAUCGCUACGAUGAAAAGUUUAAGCCCGAUCAUAAAUGCACAAAUAGGGAAUUGCAAGUGCUUGUGGUACAAGAAGAGAAUGGGAUGGAGCAAGUGGAAGCACCUGAGGAGGAAGAAGGUGGUGAACUGGGGGAGUUGAUUGAACUAUCCAUUAAAUCGGUGGUUGGCCUCCCCAUGCCUCAAAUAAUGAAGCUUCAAGGUUCCAUUUUAGGGCGGAGUGUGGUGGUGAUUAUUGAUUGUGAUGCUACCCACAAUUUUAUUUCGAAUGAGCUAGUUUGGAAACUUGGGUUGAACAUCACCAGUAAGUACAGUGAUGGAGCCAUUAUAGGAACAUGGCUCGGGUCAAUGGAGGUUGAGUGUGUCGAGGAGUGGUGGUAUCUCUACCACAAAUUGAUGUAGUGGAAGAUUUCCUACCAUUAAAGUUGGGAUGCACAGUGAUCGUGGGAAUGAAGUGGUUGGGAACCUUGGGGAAGAUGCAGGUAAACUGGGGAGCAUUGACUAUGCGUUUUAAGGUAAGGGAAAAGAAACCAUUGUGCUGCGAGGGGACCCCAAUCUGGAUAAAUCGCGAGUGUCCCCAAAGUCGAUAGUGAAGUCCAUUAGGAAUGGGGAACAAGGGGUGUUGCUAGAAUUGGGGAGUUUGGGUAUGGUCUCCGAGGAAAUGGGGAUUGAGAUGCCUGAUACAAUCUGGUAGUUGUUGAAGGAAUACGGUAGGGUAUUUGGAGAAUCCUACGAGCUUUUUCCAACACGAACACGGGAUCACGCGAUUACAUUGCAACCGGGGACAGCAGCAAUCAAUGUGAGACCCUACUGUUAUCCUUAUGCCCAGAAAAAUGAAAUUGAGAAGUUGGUUCGGGAGAUGCUAGUUGUUGGGAUUAUACAACCCAGUCAUAGUCCAUUCUCGAGCCCAGUUCUGCUGAUUAAGAAGGAUGGGAGUUGGCGCUUUUGCGUGGACUAUCGUGCCCUCAAUAAGGUUACAAUACCUGAUCGCUUCCCAAAAUCGAUAAUUGAUGAGUGCUGGAUGAAUUACAUGGAGCCUGAGUAUUUUCUAAGCAGGAUUUGAAGCCAGGAUACCAUCAGAUCAGGGUUAAGGCAGAUGACAUCCCUAAGACUACUUUCUGAACUUACGAGGGUCAUUACGAGUUCUUGGUAAUGCCCUUUGGGUUGACAAAAGCAUUGGCUACCUUCCAGCACUUGAUGAAUGAGAUCUUCAGACCCUUUUUAAGGAAAUUUGUACUGGUCUUCUUUGACGACAUUUUGGUGUACAGUGGGACGGUAGAGGAACAUUGUCAGCAUUUGCAUAAAGUCUUGGGAAGCUUGCAGGAGCAUAAGUUGUUUGCUAAUGCAAAGAAAUGUGUAUUUGGACAGCAGAAGAUUGAAUAUUUAGGUCACGUCAUAUCUGAGGAAGGAGUGGCAACCGAUCAGAGUAAAAUUGAAGCAAUGAUCUGCUGGCCCCCACGCUACGUCAAGGAGCUCUGAGGGUUCCUUGGUCUGACAAGCUAUUACGUGCAGUUUGUGGCGGGAUACGCCAAGGUUGCAUGGCCACUAACCGAGCUUCUUAAGAAAAAUGGAUUCUUUUGGAGUAAUGAGGCUGAGAGAGCAUUCCAAGAACUGAAGCCAGCCAUGACAGAUGUCCCCGUAUUCUCAUUGCCUGACUUUUCACAAUAGUUCGUCAUUGAAAUUGAUGCUUCAGGGUAUGGACUGGGGACUGUGCUGAUGCAGAACCAUCACGCUAUUGCCUAUUACAGCCACGUUCUUCCAUCUAAUGCAAGAAAAAAAUCAGUCUACGAGCGGGAAUUAAUGGCAAUUGUGUUUGCUGUUCAGAAAUGGUGGCAUUACUUAUUGGGACGGCACUUUGUUGUGCGGACGGAUCAAAGAAGUCUGAAGUUUUUGUUGGAACACCGUAUGGUCAGCGAAGAGCAUCAAAAGUGGCUAACCAAAUUGUUGGGGUACAGUUUUGACAUCCAGUACCAACUUGGGGUGCAAAACAAGGCUGCAGACGCUCUUUCUCGGGUUGAACCAACCCUCAGUAACUUGAUGAUCUCUACUCCCAGGUCGCUAAAUUUAGAAGAGCUCAAACAAGCUAUUGCCGCAGAUGAUGUUUAGGGUAAGCUGGUGAAUGACAUACAGUCGGGGCUUCUAGUGAAACCUGGUUUUACACUUGCAGAAGGGGCUGGUGCUUCCCAAAAACUCUCCUUUUGUCACAACCAUAUUGCAGGAAGGCCAUGAUUCCAAGAUAGGUGGGCACUCCGGUUUCCUUAAGACAUAUAAAAGGGUUGCACGUGAGGUUUAUUGGUUGGGGAUGAAAACAGAUGUGUAGGAUUAUGUGGCCAACUGCGCCAUAUGCCAACAGAACAAGUACAUGGCUUUGUCUCCUUAUGGGCUGUUGCAGCCUUUACCUAUUCCGGACUCAAUUUGGGACGAUAUCUCACUUGACUUCAUUGAAGGGCUACCCAAGUUGGGGGGAUGGAUACUAUAUUGGUUGUGGUGGAUCAUUUGAGUAAUUAUGGUCAUUUCAUCGGUUUAAAACACCCCUUCACUGCUCCUGAGGUUGCUGAGGUAUUCAUAUGAGAGAUAGUCCAUUUGCAUGGCAUGCCCCAGUCGAUUGUGUGACAGGGACCGGAUCUUCAUGAGUAACUUCUGGGCGGAAUUGUACAAAGCACAAGGGACUGUUCUAAAACACAGCACUGCAUACCACCCUCGGAGGUGGUUAAUCAAUGCCUAGAGACCUAUCUAAUGUGUUUUGCAGCUAAUAAGCUACGCAUUUGGAGUCAAUAUCUUCCUUAGGCAGAGUUUUGGUAUAACACAUUAUUUUACAUUGCUACCCAGCAUACUCCAUUCCAGAUUGUUUACAGCCGUGAUCCCUUGCCAAUAUUACACUUUGAGAAGGGUCUUACAGCUAAUUCUUCUGUGGAGCAGCUUUUACUAGAAAGGGAUGAGAUUUUACAGGAACUUAAGGCUCAACUUUCCAGGGCUCAACUGAGGAUGAAACAAAUGGCUGAUGGGCAUCGAUGUGAUAUUCAAUUUGAGGUGGGUGAUCUAGUGUACAUUAAGCUGUGUCCUUUCCGACAGAAGUCGAUGAAAAGAAGCUCAUGUGCCGUUUGAAGUUAUCUCAGAGGUGGAUAAUGUUGCUUAUAAGCUUAACUUGUCUCCUACUGCAGCCAUACGUCAUGUGUUCCAUGUGUCCCAACUAUGGAAGGCGGUUGGUAUCUCUCAGCUUUUCUCCUCCCUGCCGCCGCAUCUCACUGCUGGAGGCGAACUUGUUAUUGAACCCGAGGCAGCGAUGGCAAUCAGGCCCUGUGUCGUUGACAGAAAUGGGGAGCCAGAAGUUUUGAUCAAGUGGAAAGAUCUCCCAGAAUCUGAGGCAACCUGGGAGCCAUUUGAAGCCAUACGGAAGCAGUUCCCUAGCUUCCACCUUGAGGACAAGGUGGAUUUUGGGGCAGCGGGCAAUGAUAGACCCACAAUACGAUUCACCUACGCAAGAAGAGGAAAGAAGGAUCCAAGGCAGCAUCGUCAACUUUCAUUCCAGAAUAUUCCUGUAAGCUAGUAGCGGGGGGGGGGGGGGGGGGGGGGUUUUAAAAGAGUAAUAGUUGUAGAUUAAAACGUCUAUAAAAGGUCUUGGAGGAAAAGGGAAAAGUAGGCAUUGUUUUAGUGAGUCUUUCUGUUAGAAGGGAAUCCAGGCCUCUCGAAUUGCCUGUGGGUUGAAUUUCCGUUAUUCAGUUGCAAUAAAGAAUUAAUUUCUAUUCCCUAUACGUAUGCUUGAUUUCUGUUACAUUUCCAGAUUUUAAUUCCUCUCUCACAAGUGAGAAUCACAGCUUCAUAGGUUGGGGUCCUAUCAGGAUCUGAGUCACUAGCAUCCUUGCAGGCCAAUUUACUGUUUGAGCCAAUCCAGUUUGAGGUAAAUUAGUCAAAUACUCUUCCAAGCUUGUGAACCAUUGUUGAAGAUAUAUGUGAAAACGUCAUUUAUCUUUCUGAAGUUUCUCUCUAGAAUAUCAUGGAUUCCACAUGGAACCUCAUUUUUGUAAUUGCUAAUAAUAUAUAUAUAUAUUUUAUUUUUAUUUUUAUUUUUAUUUUUUUUUAUUUUUUACGAGGCUGCAAAGGGGAUUUCAAUUAUUAUAGUUCAUUCCGUCCCAUCUUCCCAUUUCAACCAACCUAUUAACGUUUACCCCACUAGUUAUUUAGAAAUUUUUUUGGAAUGCCUGUGAAUAUGAAGCAUGUUUCUUUUUUCUUUUUAUGGCUGCAGGAGCGUGGUAAUUUGCUCGACGAUUACUUGAAGAGCUUGAGCAAAGAAGAGAAGAAGACAUUGAUAUGAAAUGCCCUCAAUUCCUUUUUUAAACAUAGACUUUUUAACUAACAAACACGCAGCUAUGGAUUUAUUCACUCCACACCUCUCUUCAUAGAAAUGCCUGACUUUUCAAAAUUAAAUGUGUGAUGGUACUUGGGAAUAUGAAUGUGAUCUUGCUAGAAUCUUACUUGUGAAAAAGGGGCUGACAGAACCCUUGACGGACAUCCUCAUGAGCGUCAGACUUGUGUGAAUAAAAAAAGCUUCCCUCCCCUCCUAUUCUAAGUGUGCUGUUAGACACUGUCAAAUUCUUUUUGUCAGCAUAGCAUGAUUGUUACUAGAAAAGACUUUCCCACCGACAAUCAAUUUCAUUAAAUUACUAGUAUAUUUUGUGGGUUGGCAGAAGAAGAAAUUUUAUAUUAACACAAAUGUUAUAUUUAUAUGUAUGCACAAUUAUUUAAC